rnacentral:rRNA from 1 species
CAGACGAUGCGUCAUGCAUAUCAAUAAGCGGAGGAAAAGAAACUAACUAGGAUUCCCUCAGUAACGGCGAGUGAAGCGGGAAGAGCUCAAAUUUGAAAUCUUCAAGGUUCUACCUUGACGAGUUGUAGUUUAAAGAAGUGUUUUCUGUUGGAGUUUUGGUAAAAGUUCUUUGGAAUAGGACAUCAUAGAGGGUGAGAAUCCCGUAUUUGACCAUUAUUUCCAGCUUUGUGAUACACUUUCAAAGAGUCGGAUUGUUUGGGAAUGCAGUCCAAAAUGGGUGGUAAAUCUCAUCUAAAGCUAAAUAUUGGCGAGAGACCGAUAGCGAACAAGUACCGUGAGGGAAAGAUGAAAAGAACUUUGAAAAGAGAGUUAAACAGUACGUGAAAUUGUCAAAAGGGAAGCGUUUGACACCAGUGUUGUUUUCUCGAAAAUCAAUUAAAAAAGGCAGGAUUUUGUGUUGUAUUGACUUUAUCAGCUUUCUGCACUCUUUUCUUGUCUUUUUUUAAUGCACUUUUCGUUUAACAAGUCAACAUCAAUUUCUUUUGUUGUAAAAGGGUCAUUGGAAGGUGGCUUUCUUUUCGGAGAAAGUGUUUAUAGCCUUUGGCCUCUGCAAUCGGAGAGAUUGAGGUCUGCAGCGUAGAUCCUUCGGGGCUAGAUACAUUUGUGCUAAGUUAUAGCCUUUCAUAGACAACUUGUUGACUAUGAUCAGUCAUGUAGCUUACUCGCUUAUGCUAUUUUACCUACGCUUAGGAUGUUGAUCUACAGAGCGAGAGU